GAUGAAAAGCUAAUAAUUUUCUUUUUAUCUUUUUCAUUUUGAGGCAGAAACUAGAGAUGCUUCAUUUAAACCUGUGCCUCUUGUUCAGAAGCCGAUAUCAUCUGUUUUGGAGAAGAUCAGGCUAAGAAAGUUGGAAGUAUCAAAAAAACCUAGCAUUCUCUAUCAUUUUGAUUCUAUUGCUGAUACUGAUUGUUCUGCGGCUGAGAUGUCUCACGUCUCUGAUCUAUCUGGGUCUAAUAAUGGGAAGGAAAACAAUGAGACAUCAAAAAUGUUGUAUAGUUGCAGGAUGAUGCUGUCCAAGCUAUGGAUGGUGACAACAGUGCAAGUUUUCUGAGCUGCCAUGAGAAUGUUACCUAUAGCAAGGUUAUCAAUUGUGUUGGUGGAUCUCAGUUUGUU